AAGCAUUAAAAUGUCUGAGAACCGCAUAUUAAAAGUUACAGCGGAAAAUUUAUUAGUAAAACCAGUAUUCGUCCUGAAGCAAAAAGAAAAUGUGUCGACUUAAUGAGUUAAGAGUUUUAUUAUCAACUCAGUGGACAACAGCAUUCAAUAUCAACGUGAGAUCAGCCGUCAAAUAAGUUUAAUGUAAAAUACUGAAAAUGUAAAAUGUCAAUUAGAGAAUUCUGCCUGAUCGUGCCAUCGUUUACUUUAUUUUGAUUGUCAAAGUCGUUCGGUCUACGACAUCGAGCGUCGGGUAUGCCUGUAUUAUACGUUCGUGGCUUUCGAAAAAGAUUCUAGCAUUAUUAUACGAACUCUGACGUCGUCUAGAUAAAACUUCUAGAUAAAACGAAAUAAAAAUGGACAGUGUUCUAGCAUUAAUAACAUUGUUUAACAGGAGAAUUUCUUCCAUCGCACGUCUUAAAAUUGUCGUUACAAAAUAUAAGCUACGUUUAUAGAGGCUUCGAUCAAUUUUGACUCAAUUUGGUGCGUUAAUUUUGUAUUUUCACGACCACUGUGACUGUAUUACAAUCAAUUAGAAAGUUUAUGUUACUAAUCGGAAAGAUGAGAACUUUGACAUUUUCACUAAACAUUUUCACUAAAAGUUCUUUCAUAAAGAUUUCAUAAAAUUGAAAACACUUUUAAACUCGAGGCUGAUAAUAUUGUUAACAAUUAUAUCGAGCUCGCACGAAAUUAAUUCAGAAAUUUAUUCGCGAAGGAGAGAAAACGCUCGCGAUAAGACUUAUCGCGGUUGAACUCCCGACCAGGCCGGCAAUCAGGGGUCACCCCAGGAUGGAAUACUACGUGCUCACGAUCUUCCAGAGUCAGUUCCCGAGGCCAACAAUACGAGUAAUAUUUUAACGAAUUUUGAAGCAUAAGAGAUCUUUUCUCCUCGUCUUCCCUGCGAGGAAUUAAAUAAUUCUAAAUCGCACAGGAAUUGCAGGGGGAAACCGGACGAAUGUGUUGACAGUCGACACUCACCGUGAGGAACACCAUUGUUCGACAAUCUCUCGGAUACUCCGGUGAAUCGGGAAAUCAACAACGUAUCGGUCACUCGUAGGGCUAAUAUUGCGCGUCUGAGCGACGAUCGAGAAGAGGCAGAACUAAAGUCCGAGCGAUCACGAAGAGACGCCAGAAGAGAAUGCCUCUGACCCCACUCUUUCCCCACUACUGGACUCUUGGAUGGGUCAAGACUGCAAGCAAGUCAAUUGGCCUGAUGAACGAUUAAGUGUUUAACGCUGCCGGUACCUCAACUUCAACUAUAUUAGAUCGUGAUGUCAGAAGCGAAGAAUCGUUUGUUCUCCAGCACAAUUCCGCCUACGCCUGUCGGCGUUAAAACGCGGCCACGUUAAGACGACAAAUUGAAGGAAAUUUACAAUUAUUUAUGAAUUCAUGUACUGAAAGGAAGAAGUAAAUGGUACACCGCGUACAACGAUGUCACGUUCUAAUUGCAGCACGUUGGCUAAUUGCGAAAUAAACGUGUUCUUUGAAAUAA